rnacentral:rRNA from 1 species
AACGAACGCUGGCGGCAUGCCUAAUACAUGCAAGUCGAACGAGACCUUCGGGUCUAGGGGCUCACGGGUGCGGAAGGCGUGGGAACCUGCCCAUAGGGUCGGAACAUCUCUCUGAAAGGGGUGCUAAUACCGGAUAAUGUCUUUGUACCCAAGAUUUAUCGCUCUUGCAUGCGACCGCGUUGGAUUAGCUAGUUGGUAGGGUAAAAGUCUACCAAGGCGACGAUCCAUAGUUGGUCUGAGAGGCUGCUUCGCCACUCUGGGAGUGAGAGACGGCCCGGACUCCUCCGUGAGGCAGCAGUGGGGAAUAGUGGCCACUGGGGGCAUGUCUGCUCUAGCAGUGCCGCGUCAGUGCUGAUGUCGUUAGGGUUGUAAUGCUCUUUUACCCGGUAUGGUAAUGACCGUACCGGGCCAGACAGCUACGGCUAACUCCGUG